rnacentral:misc_RNA from 1 species
GCUGGAGCUAGGAAUCCCCAAAAAUACGGCUAAUAAAUGGAUUCUCCCUUACGAUAGAGAGAGUGAAUUUCAUAUAAUUACAAGAGAUGAUGUAUAAUUUUAUAAUUUCUCUAAACAUAGACGUUAUUAGUGAAGUAAACCGAUAUGAUUGUUUGGAAUGCAAUGUAAAUCAAUUUAUUUUCUCAUGUUCUAUUAGUAUUUGAAUUUUUUUUUUUUUAAAGCAAAAUUUUGAAGCAAGCUGAUACUCUCA